CGGAGACAAAGAGCCCUCCUUGCACCUGGUCAGGACACCUGACUUUCUAAACCAAAUCGUGCCCUUCCUCGGUGGUAGGGCUGGGGGCAGAGCAGGGAAUUCAUCUCAGGAGCUGGCAGUACGUGAUCCACCCCAUCUGUGGUACAAGUUUGUGCUGUUAAAGUGCUGGGAAUGAAGCUAUGGCAUAGUUUGGAGAAGUUUUGGGAUGAGAACAUCAAGUGAUGGUCUUUUUUUAAACACACAAUCAAGAGGAGAAACGGUUCUGGAGUUGGUGGAUAAGAGAUGCUUAUCCUUAAGUUACAGUCUUGAAGUAAAUAAAGAU